rnacentral:misc_RNA from 1 species
GAAAUGCGAUAAGUAGUGUGAAUUGCAGAAUUUAGCGAAUCAUCGAAUCUUUGAACGCACAUUGCGCCCCUUGGUAUUCCAUGGGGCAUGCCUGUUCGAGCGUCAUUUCAACCCUCAAGCACUGCUUGGUGUUGGGCGUUUGUCCCGCCUACGCGCGUGGUCUCGCCUCAAAGUCAUUGGCGGCUGUUCCCCUUCGGCUCGUAAGCGCAGCACAGUCGGCGCCCGGAGCUCUGGUGGGAUGGCGUCCAGCAAGCUAUAUUUUCAGGCUUGACCUCGGAUCAGGUAGGGAUACCCGCUGAACUUAAGC